AUUCUAAUGUAUUAUGUUAUCGUGAUUGAGAAUUUAAUAACAUUAAUCCAAGCUUUUCAUAUGCAUAUGUUAAAUUUUUAUAAAGACCUUUGGAACAACCAUUUUCUUGGAUGGUUUGGAAUCUAUGAAAUUUCUUCCAUCUUUAUAAAUCCUGGAGGAAUUGAAGGAAUGAUUCGAUUAAUAUAAAUCUCAACAAAUGAAGGUUUUUUACGUGCUGGACUAUUUGGCACACGGAACGUAUUAUCUUCUCCAUCUCCACCGGCAUUAAGAUUCAUUUCGGAUAAAGGUUUACGUUGAUUAUGCAUCUCCAACAUAUCCAAACGUGGUGGCAUUGUUAAAC